AGGAUUGUGGCUCAAUGGCAGAGCCCUUGCCUCACAAGCAUGAGGCACUGGUUUCGAUCCUC
rnacentral:tRNA from 1 species